UGAUAUUAUGGUUUUAAAAGGGAGGCCAGGUUAUCACAGAUCUGAUCAUCAAUAUUUUUAUUAGAUGUGACACAAGCCGUUAGCAUAGUAGAGUUAAUAUUUUAUCAUUGUUAUAUAUAUCUUUUACAUGCGUUAUGCUAGUGUACUUACAGUCACUGACCCACACCUCCAACCUCUUUUAUAUGUCUGACUAAUCAAGCUUUUUACAGCUAAUGCUAGUAAUUUUACAUAUGUGCCGUUAUCAUCCAACAACAUUGUUCCCUGAACAGAUAAUGACUAACAGUGGUGCUGCAAAAUUCAUUUUUUUUGUAAACAUUCCCCAUGAUCAGUAAUUGAGCAUCAUGGGAAUUGUAGUCCAUAAACAUCUGUAUUACCAAGAUCAGCCAUUACUGGAUAAUCUAUAUCUUAAUGGAAACUGGGAUUAUAGAGUAAAAGGAAAUAUUUCCUGCAGAUCACCUCCAUUCCCAAUAACUGG